UUCUCAAUAGCUCAGUGAUAGAGCAGACGAUUGUUAAUCGAUUGAUCAUAAUUUCGAAUCUUACUUGAGGAG
rfam:Capsicum annuum cultivar Zunla-1 chromosome 8, whole genome shotgun sequence